rnacentral:rRNA from 1 species
AGGAUGAACGCUGGCGGCGUGCCUAACACAUGCAAGUCGAACGAAGCACUUCUGAUUGGAGAUUCGUACGAAGAUUGGAUUUGACUUAGUGGCGGACGGGUGAGUAAUGUAUGAGCAACCUGCCUUUCAGAGGGGGACAACAGUUGGAAACGACUGCUAAUACCGCAUAAUGUAUCGAGAGGGCAUCCCUUUGAUACCAAAGGAGCAAUCCGCUGAAAGAUGGGCUCAUAUCUGAUUAGUUAGUUGGUGGGGUAACGGCCUACCAAGACUGCGAUCAGUAGCCGGACUGAGAGGUUGAACGGCCACAUUGGGACUGAGAUACGGCCCAGACUCCUACGGGAGGCAGCAGUGGGGAAUAUUGGGCAAUGGGCGAAAGCCUGACCCAGCAACGCCGCGUGAAGGAAGAAGGUCUUCGGAUUGUAAACUUCUUUUAUGAGGGACGAAGGACGUGACGGUACCUCAUGAAUAAGCCACGGCUAACUACGUGCC